GACGAACGCUGGCGGCGCGCUUAACACAUGCAAGUCGAACGGAAAGGCCUGCUUUCCCUUGUGGAUUGCAGGUACUCGAGUGGCGAACGGGUGAGUAACACGUGAGUGAUCUGCCCCCAACUUGGGUAUAAGCCUGGGAAACUGGGUCUAAUUCCCGAUAGGACUGCAGGGUGGUGCCGGUGGUGGAAAACGAUUUUCUAGUGGUUGGGGAUGAGCUCGCGGCCUAUCAGCUUGUUGGUGGGGUAAUGGCCUACCAAGGCGGCGACGGGUAGCCGGCCUGAGAGGGUGGACGGCCACAUUGGGACUGAGAUCCGGCCCAGACUCCUACGGGAGGCAGCAGUGGGGACUAUUGCACAAUGGGCGGAAGCCUGAUGCAGCGACGCCGCGUGGGGGAUGACGGCCUUCGGGUUGUAAACUCCUUUCGACCGCGAGGAAGCCACCUGGUUGGAAGGGUGGUGACGGUAGUGGUAGAAGAAGCACCGGCUAACUACGUG
rnacentral:rRNA from 1 species